rnacentral:tRNA from 1 species
GUGGACGAGCAAAGGCCGCCAAGAUCCUCAAUGGACUCAUAAUCCGUCGGCCGUGGGUUCGAGUCCCACCCGCCCCA